rnacentral:hammerhead_ribozyme from 1 species
AUCCAGCUGACGAGUCCGAAAUAAGACUAGACGCGCGUCAAAUUGGAU